UACGUAGGGUGCAAGCGUUUAAUCGGAAUUACUGGGCGUAAAGCGUGCGCAGGCGGUUCUGAAAGUCAGCUGUGAAAGCCCCGGGCUUAACCUGGGAAUUGCGGUUGAAACUACAGGGCUAGAAUCUGGCAGAGGGGGGUGGAAUUCCACGUGUAGCAGUGAAAUGCGUAGAGAUGUGGAGGAACACCGAUGGCGAAGGCAGCCCCCUGGGCUGAGAUUGACGCUCAGGCACGAAAGCGUGGGGAGCAAACAGG
rnacentral:rRNA from 1 species